CAGAUACCAUUGAAGUCAUCCCCUUUAAUACCGUGUAAAAGACCUGCAGUACUGAUAUUUACUCCGACGACAUCCUUAAUAGUGAUCUUGCUUAUGACAGGAAGGGCAUUUGGGUCGUAGUUAUCGUCUGGAUGCUCACCAUACUGGCCUUGUAUUCUGAUGGCGAUCUUUACAUUAGUCAUGGUCACAUCGGAAAUGUAUAGAUUUCUGACAUAACCACCGCGUCCUGGAG
rnacentral:misc_RNA from 1 species